AUUGAACGCUGGCGGCAUGCCUUACACAUGCAAGUCGAACGGCAGCACGGGUGCUUGCACCUGGUGGCGAGUGGCGAACGGGUGAGUAAUACAUCGGAACGUACCUUAUCGUGGGGGAUAACGCAGCGAAAGCUGUGCUAAUACCGCAUACGCCCUGAGGGGGAAAGCGGGGGAUCGCAAGACCUCGCGCGAUUAGAGCGGCCGAUGCCUGAUUAGCUUGUUGGUGGGGUAAAAGCCCACCAAGGCGACGAUCAGUAGCUGGUCUGAGAGGACGAUCAGCCACACUGGGACUGAGACACGGCCCAGACUCCUACGGGAGGCAGCAGGGGGGAAUUUUGGACAAUGGGGGCAACCCUGAUCCAGCAGUGCCGCGUGAGUGAAGAAGGCCUUCGGGUUGUAAAGCUCUUUUGUCAGGGAAGGAACACCGGCUCUAACACAGUCUGGGAAUGAUGGUACCUGAAGAAUAAGCACCGGCUAACUACGUGCCAGCCGCCGCAGUAA
rnacentral:rRNA from 1 species